CAAAAAAAUUAAUAUGCUAUCCAUUAUCAACACCAACAAGGUGGACCCAAACAUCAAAAUCAAAAUAAUAUUCUAAAAACUUAUUAUCUAUCCUUUUCAUAAUUUCAGCGAUAAAAUAACAAUUAUACUUUACAAUUUUCUUCCACCACCUUAAUAUAUUGUCAAGGGUAUUGUUGAGAUCUAGGAGUGAGAGAAGAUUUCUAACAGUAUAAUCUAAAAUGACUCAAUUCCAGGAAGGACUAAAAGCAACCCAGGAAAGAAGAAGAAUCUUCUUGGGACCUCUUAAAGACGUCAACAUAGUCCUAACUUAGAGGGGCAACCAAACCUUCGCGCUGCUGAAUGGAGGAAAAAUACGGCCACAAUAAGGUAUCAAAACUAUCGAUGCUCGGAAUAUUUAAAAAGUAUACUUAAACUCACGUGCUCUUGUCAUUAAAGAAAGAAGUCUACGGUUGAGAGAUUGUAUCACAAUAAUAUAGGUCACAACACAAACGACUACCUUCACUUGAUGGAUGCCAUUAAAGCAACUGUAAGGAGGGGAUACCUGAAAAUAUUCAUAAAGGGAACACCUCAUUCCUUAAAAAAAUAAAGGGAGGAGGCAUCACAAUAAAUAAUUAAAUAAAUAAGGUCUGGAAGUCGUAGAAUAUUGAUGAAAAAAGGUCUCAGGAUGCUGGCACACUACAACCAAUGCCCUUCAAAAGUGAAGAUAAAAGGGGGUCUGGUUUAAUAGGCAAUUGAUUGUGUACGCUUGGCAAGAUGGAUGACACAGUUGAGGAGGCCAUAAAAUAAAAAGCAACAUCAAGAGCUUGGGUUUUUAAACUGAUACCUUGUGAAAGAACAAAUUAAAGAGAAAACUUUGAUUUUGUAAUUCACUAUUGAUGCAAUAAAGAGGUACACUUUAUAAGAGGAAA